AUGGGUUCUAUUCCCAAACCGUGUAUACAUACCUUUGUUGCUUUGGCGGGNCGCCUUCGGGVGUUGGCUCCGGCCGACUGCGCCCGCCAGAGGACCCAAACUCGUUUAUUUAGUGAUGUCUGAGUACUAUAUAAUAGUUAAAACUUUCAACAACGGAUCUCUUGGUUCUGGCAUCGAUGAAGAACGCAGCGAAAUGCGAUAAGUAAUGUGAAUUGCAGAAUUCAGUGAAUCAUCGAAUCUUUGAACGCACAUUGCGCCCCUUGGUAUUCCGAGGGGCAUGCCUGUUCGAGCGUCAUUAUAACCACUCAAGCCUUUGGCUUGGUAUUGGGGUUCGCGGUUCCGCGGCCUUUAAAAUCAGUGGCGGUGCCGUCUGGCUCUAAGCGUAGUAAUUCUCUCGCUAUAGGGUCCCGGCGGUGGCUUGCCAAAAACCCCCUAUUUUUUCUACGGUUGACCUCGGAUCAGGUAGGGAUACCCGCUGAACUUAAGCAUAUCAAUAAGCGGAGGAAAAGAAACCAACAGGGAUUGCCUCAGUAACGGCGAGUGAAGCGGCAACAGCUCAAAUUUGAAAUCUGGCUCUUUCAGGGUCCGAGUUGUAAUUU
rnacentral:rRNA from 1 species